UUAAUUAAGAGGAAAGUCCGAGCUACAAAGACAGGAUUCCAUUUAACAAAUGGCUGGAGCAAUCCAAGAGAUAGUGCAACAGAAAAUAACCGCCCCUCAAAAAGAAUAAAACGGGGGUAAGGGUGAAAAAGUCGGGGUAAGAGCCCACUGCGGCUAAAGCAAUUUAGCGCGCGUGCAAACCUAAUCCGUAGCAAAAAGAGCAUGGUUACGUCUUAUUCAAAGCUCUUUGCAAGAAUCUGCCCGUAAGGUCAGAUCUAGAUAAAUAGCUACCAAAUACAGAACUCGGCUUAUG
rnacentral:RNase_P_RNA from 1 species